rnacentral:rRNA from 1 species
GAUGAACGCUAGCUACAGGCUUAACACAUGCAAGUCGAGGGGCAGCAUGGUCUUAGCUUGCUAAGGCCGAUGGCGACCGGCGCACGGGUGAGUAACACGUAUCCAACCUGCCGUCUACCUCGUGGACACGUCCUUCUAGGAAAGGAAGUAAUUAAACUAACGAAAGUAGUCGGACUACUACAGUGGUACGGUCCCGACUAGUUCGUUACCAACUAGUAGUAAAGUUUAAAGGUU